UGUCAUUAACCCAAAAUUAAC
rnacentral:piRNA from 1 species